GAACGACGCUAACAGCCCUGACACGUGGCUAACGGAUUCACUGUUAUGCAUAUGUGUCAAUAAAACAAAGUUAAUCCUAAAUUCAGUCAUGAGAAAAGAUAAAACGAAAGAAAGAAACAUUUGGAAGCAUUUCAUAAAUGCAGGCCUCGAUCAAUAUGGACCAAGAUGACGAUAAAGCCCCCGACUGACCUAAGGCUGCUAGCAUGCAUCGAAUUCAGGGAUAACAAGUGAUCUGCAAACACUAGAUUCCAUCCCGACGUUCCUCUCUUGGGCCCGCUCUGAAUCCGAGUUCUGGGCUCCAUGUCAGCUGCAUGCAGCGGGAGCAGGCAGACUCUUGGAGGCUGUGCGUUUUCAGUACUCUCAGCCUGCUAAGAGGACAUAUCAACUGGAAAUCAGCGGCCCUCCGCGAAUAUAAAACUCGAUAAUCGUACAUUUCUGGUCAGCAGGUCGUCG
ensembl:lncRNA